rnacentral:rRNA from 1 species
GAUGAACGCUGGCGGCGUGCCUAAUACAUGCAAGUAGAACGCUGAAGGAGGAGCUUGCUCUUCUGGAUGAGUUGCGAACGGGUGAGUAACGCGUAGGUAACCUGCCUGGUAGCGGGGGAUAACUAUUGGAAACGAUAGCUAAUACCGCAUGACAACAGUUAUUGCAUGAUAACUGUUUAAAAGGGGCAACUGCUCCACUACCAGAUGGACCUGCGUUGUAUUAGCUAGUUGGUGAGGUAACGGCUCACCAAGGCGACGAUACAUAGCCGACCUGAGAGGGGGAUCGGCCACACUGGGACUGGGACACGGCCCAGACUCCUACGGGAGGCAGCAGUAGGGAAUCUUCGGCAAAGGACGGAAGUCUGACCGAGCAACGCCGCGGGAGUGAAGAAGGUUUUCGGAUCGUAAAGCUCUGUUGUAAGAGAAGAACGAGUGUGGGAGUGGAAAGUUCACACUGUGACGGUAUCUUACCAGAAAGGGACGGCUAACUACGUG